UCUGGGUUGGAGCUGUGCAUUCUUGAUGACCACCAAAUUGAAGAUGCAUCUCCCACUCCCAGU
ensembl:miRNA mdo-mir-12312 mdo-mir-12312